GAAAUUUAAGAAGGGCUGCUCCUAGUACGAGAGGGCCGGAGUGGACGGAUCAAUCGUGUACCUGUUGUCGCGCCAGCGGCACCGCAGGGUAGCGAAAUCCGGAAUAGAUAACCGCUGAAAGCAUCUAAGCGGGAAGCUAGCUUCAAGAUAAGAUUUCCCAGGGACUUCGGUCCCCUGAAGGCGUGUUGUAGACUACAACGUUGAUAGGCUGGAGGUGGAAGUGCAGCAAUGCAUGUAGCUGACCAGUACUAAUUCGCCGUGAGGCUUAAUUU
rnacentral:rRNA from 1 species